rnacentral:rRNA from 1 species
CCUACGUGAGUCAGCAGUAGGGAAUAUUGCUCAAUGGGGGAAACCCUGAAGCAGCAACGUCGCGUGGAGGCUGAAGGUUUUAGGAUUGUAAACUCCUUUUGAUAGAGAAGAUUAUGACGGUAUCUAACGAAUAUUCACUGGCUAACUCCGUGCCAGCAGCCGCGGUAAUACGGAGGGUGCAAGCGUUACUCGGAAUCACUGGGCGUAAAGAGUGCGUAGGCGGGGUAAUAAGUCAGAUGUGAAAUGAUGUAGCUUAACUGCAGAACUGCAUUUGAAACUGUUACUAUGGAGUGUAGGAGAGGUAGGUGGAAUUCUUGGUGUACGGGUAAAAUCCGUAGAGAUCAAGAAGAAUACUCAUUGCGAAGGCGACCUGCUGGAACAUUACUGACGCUGAUGCACGAAAGCGUGGGGAGCAAACAGGAUUAGAUACCCCAGUAGUC